rnacentral:rRNA from 1 species
UGCCAGCCGCCGCGGUAAUACGGAGGGUGCAAACGUUGCUCGGAAUCAUUGGGCGUAAAGCGAGCGUAGGCGGUCUGGAAAGUCGGGUGUGAAAGCCCUUGGCUUAACCAAGGAAGUGCAUUCGAAACUAUCAGACUUGAAUAUCGGAGAGGGUGACGGAAUUCCCGGUGUAGAGGUGAAAUUCGUAGAUAUCGGGAGGAACACCAGUGGCGAAGGCGGUCACCUGGACGAAUAUUGACGCUGAGGUUCGAAAGCGUGGGGAGCAAACAGGAUUAGAUA